rnacentral:rRNA from 1 species
GUCCUGAAGGAACGUUGAAGACGACGACGUUGAUAGGCCGGGUGUGUAAGCGCAGCGAUGCGUUGAGCUAACCGGUACUAAUGAACCGUGAGGCUUAACCUUACAAUGCCGAAG